rnacentral:rRNA from 1 species
GACGAACGCUGGCGGCGUGCCUAAUACAUGCAAGUAGAACGCUGAAGGAGGAGCUUGCUUCUCUGGAUGAGUUGCGAACGGGUGAGUAACGCGUAGGUAACCUGCCUGGUAGCGGGGGAUAACUAUUGGAAACGAUAGCUAAUACCGCAUAAUAGUAGAUGUUGCAUGACAUUUGCUUAAGAGGUGCAAUUGCAUCACUACCAGAUGGACCUGCGUUGUAUUAGCUAGUUGGUGGGGUAACGGCUCACCAAGGCGACGAUACAUAGCCGACCUGAGAGGGUGAUCGGCCACACUGGGACUGAGACACGGCCCAGACUCCUACGGGAGGCAGCAGUAGGGAAUCUUCGGCAAUGGACGGAAGUCUGACCGAGCAACGCCGCGUGAGUGAAGAAGGUUUUCGGAUCGUAAAGCUCUGUUGUAAGAGAAGAACGGGUGUGAGAGUGGAAAGUUCACACUGUGACGGUAUCUUACCAGAAAGGGACGGCUAACUACGUG